rfam:Serratia sp. DD3 SRDD_contig000014, whole genome shotgun sequence.
UUGCAGGACAAAACGCAUUGCGUUUUGAACAGCGCUUGCGCUGGCUCCGAAGGAGCGAGACCCGAAUGGGGCGAGUAACGCGGCAAGGGAAUCCCGAU